rnacentral:rRNA from 1 species
UACGUAGGGGGCAAGCGUUGUCCGGAAUUAUUGGGCGUAAAGGGCUCGUAGGCGGUUUCUUAAGUCUGAUGUGAAAGCCCACAGCUCAACUGUGGAGGGUCAUUGGAAACUGGGGAACUUGAGUGCAGAAGAGGAGAGUGGAAUUCCACGUGUAGCGGUGAAAUGCGUAGAUAUGUGGAGGAACACCAGUGGCGAAAGGCGACUCUCUGGUCUGUAACU